UCGCGUUUUUAAUUGUGCUACGGGGGCCCGAUGGCUGCGCAUCACAUGCAAAUAGACGAACGACGCGCCGGCGGAGAGGAAUGAUUGAUUUAAUUUUAGCAGUUCGUCAAGAAGACGGGGCUGAGUCGCUCUGUAUGGAGGAGAGAUAUCAUCGGGCCGACAGGGACAUAAUUCUAUUUUCGACUCGCAAGCGCAAACCAACCAACUUCGUGAUGCAGUGCGUGUGUUGCAUAGGCAGCCAACAUCUUCGCGAGACAAUUACGCGCACGCAAACUUCGGCAACGUGUUUCACUUUUCAACAAUAACUGCACGCUGCCCCUUUUGUGGCGACUGACGACAUUCGAAAUGUAAACGUUGAGCACUUACCUCGCUUCUGCAUAAAGGAGAAAAGAUCGUCGAGGAACUCUUUGCGUUUGGGAUCGUCGUUGAUUUCGUACAGCUGUAACAAAAGCCCGAUUAGUAACACAACCCUAAAGAUAUUUUUCUUUUUCUCGUUAACUUUCGUUUAUUCCAUUAACCGACUCAUCAAAAAUUUCAAGCGUGAUUAAUGUGAGCAAUUAAUACACGUAAGAAAAAAUUUUAAUUUAUUAACUAACGCCAUCUAUCGGUGAAUAAUUGCAAUUUUAAUAGUUUAGAGAUAUUAAACAGGGAUUUUUGUGUGGUUUUAUUUUUGUAGCAAUACCGAAAAUUAUUAUAAACACAAAAAAGUAAUCUAAAUGCGUAAGCGCAAUUAUAUUAAGAAUAAAAUUCUACGUCUGAUUUGAAAAUAUGGCGCAUAUUGAAAUAUUAUGUAAAAAGUUAUUAACAAUUAAAGUUAAAAUUUGUGAAAAAAAUGUCAAAAAAUUAUACAAAUUAGAGCAUAACUUUUUAAAUAAAAUUUUUAUCAACAAA